GAAGAGUGACGGAGGAGGCGAGCGGAGGGCUGUGAGAAGGUGGGUCACUGAGCGGCGCGGGAGGGAAGAUGGCACCGGUGCUAUCUGAGGGGAUGAUAGCGGUGUGUGGUGUGUUUUGUGGUGUUUUUCGUUUGUUGUUUUUGUUUUUUAGAUGGAGAGCCACAAGCAAAGUAGGAUUUUGUCACCGGAGGCAGCUUGGGCGAGGUGGCACGCGAGCCUUGACGUGACAACUGGAACCAGCAGCGGCAGGGCAGGUGAAGGGCCGAGGUGCCGCAGAUGGCCGCGGAGGGGCCGAGCCGCACGCAGACCGACAGUGUGAGAAGGUGCUUUGGGAGCCGCCUUUGGGAUCGGAUGAGCGUUUGAAGCGAGCCGGGGUAGUCGCAAGGAGGAUCGUGGGUGACUCGUUGGAAGCGCAAGGGUAACUUUGUCUCUCGGUAUCUUAGGCGACGACGGCUGCAGCAUCUGACUCUGCAAAGAGCCGGUGAAGAGGAAGGCGGCAACUGCAGGAACGUGCUAGUUAGCCGCCGCGCUGCUUUCGUCGAGGACGGAAUCGGACCUCCGGCCCUCUGAAAGCUAAGUCGAGCGAACGGGGCCGAGAGGAGGGGCCGAGUUUGGGAAUUGCAGGGAAGUGUUUGAAAGUUAGCAUAGGCGAGAAGGCUGUACGGGAGCGGGGCCCUACGGUCAGGUAAAGGGAACGGAUUACUUUUCCCCUCGAUGUUAGCGUGUCCCGGGCAGGGCAGUUCCCGCCUCUGCGUGU